rnacentral:rRNA from 1 species
GAUGAACGCUGGCGGCGUGCCUAAUACAUGCAAGUCGAGCGAACGGACGAGAAGCUUGCUUUUCUGAUGUUAGCGGCGGACGGGUGAGUAACACGUGGAUAACCUACCUAUAAGACUGGGAUAACUUCGGGAAACCGGAGCUAAUACCGGAUAAUAUUUUGAACCGCAUGGUUCAAAAGUGAAAGACGGUCUUGCUGUCACUUAUAGAUGGAUCCGCGCUGCAUUAGCUAGUUGGUAAGGUAACGGCUUACCAAGGCAACGAUGCAUAGCCGACCUGAGAGGGUGAUCGGCCACCCUGGAACUGAGACACGGUCCAGACUCCUACGGGAGGCAGCAGUAGGGAAUCUUCCGCAAUGGGCGAAAGCCUGACGGAGCAACGCCGCGUGAGUGAUGAAGGUCUUCGGAUCGUAAAACUCUGUUAUUAGGGAAGAACAUAUGUGUAAGUAACUGUGCACAUCUUGACGGUACCUAAUCAGAAGGCCACGGCUAACUACGU